GAUGAACGCUGGCGGCGUGCCUAACACAUGCAAGUCGAACGGAGUGUUGAGAGCUUGCUUUUAGCACUUAGUGGCGGACGGGUGAGUAAUGUAUGAGCAACCUGCCUUUCAGAGGGGGACAACAGUUGGAAACGACUGCUAAUACCGCAUAACGCAUAGAAGUCGCAUGGCUUUUAUGCCAAAGAUUUAUCGCUGAAAGAUGGCCUCGCGUCUGAUUAGCUAGUUGGUGAGGUAACGGCCCACCAAGGCGACGAUCAGUAGCCGGACUGAGAGGUUGAACGGCCACAUUGGGACUGAGACACGGCCCAGACUCCUACGGGAGGCAGCAGUGGGGGAUAUUGCACAAUGGGGGAAACCCUGAUGCAGCAACGCCGCGUGAGGGAAGAAGGUUUUCGGAUUGUAAACCUCUGUUCUUAGUGACGAUAAUGACGGUAGCUAAGGAGAAAGCUCCGGCUAACUACGUG
rnacentral:rRNA from 1 species